UUGGCUGGCAGCUUGAGAGGGGUUCACCAUUGGUUAGAAGGGCCAUCAGGACGAAGGGGGGGGAAUCGCGGUCUGUGAUUGGCUAGACCCUCUGCGGGUGGGCGGGGUCUGGCGAGGUCCGGCCGGCUGGCUUCGGAGCGGCGCCGCAGCCCUCACUUCCCUCAGAGCCGCCGGUUCGAGUCCCGCGUCCGCGCCCCCGCCUGGCUGAGCUUAGACAAGAAGCCUGGCCUGGCCAGUAGCCAGCCACUGGUCUGGGAGUCCUGGGAAGUACGAGGGACGAGAGAAAAAUCCUUUUCCUGCUGCAGGUGUGUCUGCAUUUAGCUCCCAGAAGACAAGGAAACUGAGAUAUUAGUGCUCGCUUUCACCUCGCUUGCUAGAUUUGGCUGUUGAUUUAUGGAGGGGAAGCUGACUGCUAUUUAAUGUAUUACCCAGGGACUGAGUUGAAACAAUAGGAUAACUGCAAUUCAGGAAUAUCCUGGCCAAAUGAAGCCCAUCAGAGAAGAUUUAGCAAUUCCUGUUUUGUCUAUUGUUUUAGAAAGGUUUUCCUGAUGGGGGAAUGAAUGUGUUAGUGGGUGGAAGGACUGCCUUAGCAUUUUGUGAUGGGAUUUUUGUUUCUAAUAACGGCAUUUAUUAUUUAUGUA
rnacentral:lncRNA from 1 species